AUCGUAAAACUCUGUUGUAAGGGAAGAACACGUACGAGAGUAACUGCUCGUACCUUGACGGUACCUUAUUAGAAAGCCACGGCUAACUACGUGCCAGCAGCCGCGGUAAUACGUAGGUGGCAAGCGUUGUCCGGAAUUAUUGGGCGUAAAGCGCGCGCAGGCGGUUCUUUAAGUCUGAUGUGGAAGCCCACGGCUCAACCGUGGAGGGUCAUUGGAAACUGGAGAACUUGAGUACAGAAGAGGAAAGCGGAAUUCCACGUGUAGCGGUGAAAUGCGUAGAGAUGUGGAGGAACACCAGUGGCGAAGGCGGCUUUCUGGUCUGU
rnacentral:rRNA from 2 species